rnacentral:piRNA from 1 species
UCAGAAAUACUUCAUGAGCAA